CUGCACUCUCACCCAGCUUCAGAAGGAGCACGUACAAGAGAGAGAGAGAGAGAGAGAAAGAGAAGGAGAGACUGAAAUUUAUAGGUAACCGCGAAGAUGAAGAAGAUCGCUCUGUUCAUCGUCAUCUUGGUCUUGGCGUCGACCCUGGCCACGGCAGAGACCCGCGCCGCUGAGGUCUGCGAGGACUAUGACAGCAGUAAAUGCAUCCCGGAAGAUCUGAUUUGCGGAACCGACGAACGCACCGACCUCUGCAAGGAAGGUUACAAGUGUUGCAUUCCUGAUCAGAAAGUGAAAAGGGGGGAUGGGAAGGAGUAAGAGGAAGAGGAAGAAAGAGGAGGAGAAAGAGGAGAAGGGGAUACAAAGGAGGCGUCGGCGAGAUGGCGAGCGACUCACAUGGAACCAAAGCCCUGAUUGGCUUGAAAUUUUCGACUAAAUUAGAGGAGAUUAUGAAAUAAUGUAUAACAGUACAUGUAUAAUCAAAAAUACAUAUAUAUACAUACAGAAAAAACACACACAUAUACAUAUAUAUACAUACAAGCACACACACA